rnacentral:misc_RNA from 1 species
AACCUAGCACACCUGCGGUGUGUACCUGCGGAAGGAUCAUUACCGAGUUUACAACUCCCAAACCCCUGUGAACAUACCUAUACGUUGCCUCGGCGGAUCAGCCCGCGCCCCGUAAAAAGGGACGGCCCGCCCGAGGACCCCUAAACUCUGUUUUUAGUGGAACUUCUGAGUAAAACAAACAAAUAAAUCAAAACUUUCAACAACGGAUCU